GUCGAGAAUAAUUCACAAUGGACGAAAGUCUGAUGGUGCAACGCCGCGUGGAGGAUGAAGGUCUUCGGAUUGUAAACUCCUGUCAUCGGGGAGUAAGACCUGGCGGUAAAUAGCCGACAGGGUUGAUAGUACCCGAAGAGGAAGGGACGGCUAACUUCGUGCCAGCAGCCGCGGUAAUACGAAGGUCCCAAGCGUUGUUCGGAAUCACUGGGCGUAAAGGGAGCGUAGGCGGCGUGGUAAGUCAGAUGUGAAAUCCCGGGGCUCAACCCCGGAACUGCGUCCGAUACUGACAUGCUUGAGGGUUGGAGAGGUAGCUGGAAUUCUCGGUGUAGCAGUGAAAUGCGUGGAUAUCGAGAGGAACACUCGUGGCGAAGGCGAGCUACUGGACAACAUCUGACGCUGAGGCUCGAAGGCCAGGGGAGCAAAAGGGAUUAGAAACCCCAGUAGUCC
rnacentral:rRNA from 1 species